rnacentral:rRNA from 1 species
UACGAAGGGGGCUAGCGUUGCUCGGAAUGACUGGGCGUAAAGGGCGCGUAGGCGGAUUUGACAGUCAGGCGUGAAAUUCCUGGGCUCAACCUGGGGGCUGCGCUUGAUACGUUGGGUCUAGAGUGGGGAAGAGGGUCGUGGAAUUCCCAGUGUAGAGGUGAAAUUCGUAGAUAUUGGGAAGAACACCGGUGGCGAAGGCGGCGACCUGGUCCUUGACUGACGCUGAGGCGCGAAAGCGUGGGGAGCAAACAGG